rnacentral:rRNA from 1 species
CCUACGGGAGGCAGCAGUGGGGAAUUUUGGACAAUGGGCGCAAGCCUGAUCCAGCAAUGCCGCGUGAGUGAAGAAGGCCUUCGGGUUGUAAAGCUCUUUCAGUCGAGAAGAAAAAGCUGCAGUGAAUAACUGUAGUUCAUGACGGUAUCGACAGAAGAAGCACCGGCUAACUACGUGCCAGCAGCCGCGGUAAUA